rnacentral:rRNA from 1 species
UACGGGGGGGGCAAGCGUUGCUCGGAUUGACUGGGCGUAAAGGGCGCGUAGGCGGUUCGUACAGUCAGACGUGAAAUUCCUGGGCUCAACCUGGGGGCUGCGUUUGAUACGUGCGGACUUGAGUGCGGAAGAGGGUCGUGGAAUUCCCAGUGUAGCGGUGAAAUGCGUAGAUAUCGGAAGGAACACCAGUGGCGAAAGCGGCUUCCUGGUCCGACACCGACGUUCAGGCACGAAAGCGUGGGGAGCAAACAGG